rnacentral:lncRNA from 1 species
UUGGAAGUGAACUUUGUAGCUAGCUUUCCCAUUUUUGAACUUGAAGUCAAGAACGAAAAGAGUAGCCUAUCUUUUUCUUCUGAAGUAGGAUACUACCGACGAGCUCGGGAUGAACUAGAUCUAGAUCCAUGAGAUCUAAAUAGACGCCAUUGGCAUUACUGAAACGUCUCGGUACUGUCUAGACUCUGGAGGAGGAGAGAACUUCGGAAUCUAUGGCAUUAUUAAUUCAUUCACCAAGUUAUUUAAGAAGAUACUGGAGAGAGACUUUGAUCAAAGAGUUUACCAAGUAGUUAGUACUGAGACAUGCAACAUCUACUCCUAAAAGGUACAAGGGAAGAAAACUGUAGUUUCCGAAGGAGAUAAUUCUCUCAUCAUGUUUCCAGCUUCAUCAUCAUUCUCUGUACAUGUAUAUUCUCAAGUUCAUCACUUUGUUUUACAGCAUGGAUUGAUACGUACAUGUAUAACAGAUGAUAUGCUGAAGAUGAUGGAAGUGAUGAGGAGGAGAUAGAGGAAGAGGAGGAGACUAAAGAAGGAAAGAAGGAAAUUGAAUCAUUACCAGAAGUAAGUACAACCCUUAAUGUACAUGUAUGCAUGUCCAUGCUUGUGUGUACCAUAAAUUUUGCUCAAGUAAACAUACAUCUUCUUUGCUACCACCACAUGUUUUUUCGAGGGAAUUAUAUUUUACGAAAUCUGCUGACAAUCCAAUUUGUGGAUUUUAAUUUUGCAAAUUCUAUCACAUGUGAUGCAGCUCAAGAAUUGUAAUCACACUGAUGAAGAUAGUUGUAGAUGAGUCAUAAUUGAAGCUGCUGCCUCUAAACUCUCUGCAGUUGCUUCCCCUUCUCUGAUAAGUUUAGUUGCUGCUCUUGGACAGACUAGCAAGAUAUUGUCAGCCAUUGCAGCUUUACUGAUAGGACCUGUUGAUGUAUAAUGGACACUAUUUAAAAGUACCAGACAUAUUAAGGUCAUUACAAGUAUCAGUAAAAGCUGUUCUUAUUGGUUCACCUUAUGAUACUGACUGGUUUGAUCAAGGGAUAAAAAAUAAGAGUCUUGUUGAAUGGUUACUACCAGGACUGGAACAUAAGCCAUCCUCUUCAUCUCUUGUUGGGUCUAUUGCUACUGAUUUUAAGUAUCCAUAUGUUCAUGGUAGCUUUGGGUUGAUGAAGAUUGGAUCUGGUUAUGGUAAUACUGUGAAGGUUGGAUGGUGAUGAGUAGGAGUGUCUCAGUGGGAGGAGUCUGUGCAUUGAUACAAAGUAUAAUGUACUGUAGAGUUUUGAUGAGAGCAGCUUUGAAAUAAUUAUGUUGUUAUGAUUCUGUUGCAGCUGAAGCUAAAGAUUUAGAGGGUACUAUUAAGUCCUUCAUUACAUGUACAUGUAUGUCUCCCUCAGUCUAAAGGUUCUAUCAUCAUGUGGUUCCAUGCUUCAAUGAAUCUCUUAUCAUCAUUACACACUCUCCACUAUUGUAGGAAGGUGAAGUCUGCCUCUGUUGACGACUAUCUCAUUGUCUCAAGAGUUAAUUCUAUGGUGGGGGGUGGGGUGACAAUGCUGGAUUGAUAGAAACAGUUUUAAUAGUUUAGUCGUGAUCAAGACAUACUCCUUGGUGGGUUUUGCCGGUUUGGAGGGCCUGGUCAAUGCAACGUUGAAGUCAAAUCUGUACUGAAAGGUCAUUGGAAAGACUAUGCCAAGUCAGCCAUUGGACAAGCUGUCCUCUAUUUAACUAUAAAAUUAAUGAAGAAGCAUGUAAUGCUGACCCAGGAAUGUAC